CAUGAUGUUUUGCACGUUCUCUUUCCUUGUUCUUCUUGUGGCUUUUUCUUCAUCUCAUCAUUGACCAGUGCAUUGUUUAUGUGUGUAUAUCUAUUCUCUCCUUUUUUUUAUUCUCAUGAACUAAUGUGUGUACAGCUUAUUCUUCUCUCUAGAAUUCAUGGAUGAGUUAAUGGUCUUGGUUAUAUGGUUUAUUCAAUCCACCUAAAGGAACAAAGUUUACACCCUUUGACUGGUUUUAUUGGAAAAUCUUACACAAAAAUAUGAUGUGAUCCCUCUGCUUCCACAUGACUGUUGUUGGUCCAGGUACCGUAUUGUUUCAUGUCCUUUGUUAUAGUUUGUAGCUUAGAUUUGUAAGACUGGGCACUAUAGUGUUGUCUGUUAUGGCUGAUUGAUGUUGUUGGCGACCUUGAGAUCAGAUUAAUUCCUGCAGUCAAUAGCUCCAGUGCAGAGUAUAUGUGCAAUGAAGUAAUGUAGCGAGCACUGUUUGGUGGAGGAGAAUUUCUCUUGAAUUUUGUACAACAUUCAAAUUAUCAUCCAGAAAAUGUGUAUGUUGUCUCUCAAUAGGUACAUAUGCAAAUUUAUCUUUUUGUUGGUUGUUUGUUGCUUCUUGCUUCUUGCAGCAUCCCGACUACAUAUGUGAGGCUAUGGGAGUCCUUUUUUCGUGUAAUGAUGAGAGGAAUAUGACAAGACAACCAAUUGUACCAUGUGAACACAAUCGCUGGGACAAGCUGGUCAAGACAGGAAAAUCUAAAAGAAUGCGACUAAAAUCAAUAUUUGAAGGUACAACCUGUAUUAUGUUACUGCAGAAAUUAAUAUUGUGGUUUGUUAUUGGGAAUCAUGAGUUUCCUGGCAAUGAGACCCAUUAGUUAGAAUCUAUUGUGCUGGGAUCUUUGCUUCACAUCCCAUAUGUGCCAAGUUACUGGUAGAACUGUGUAUCGAAUUUAUUGUGCUGGAAUUUAUUGUGCUUUGGCACACACUCACUUAUAAUCAGGGCUCGCUUAAUUUUAUCUUUCUAAUUCUUUUGAGAAAUACCAUAUCAAUAUUAUUUGUGAUGACUUGUUAGUCAUAAUUUCCAGUCA